rnacentral:tRNA from 1 species
GGGAGUUUAGUACAAUGGCAGUAUAGCGGUCUCCAAAACUGAUGAUAAGGGUUCGAUUCCUUUAACUCCCGCCA